ACAGUUCUCAGCGAGUAUGAGAAUGUGCAGAGUGCGCACUCAGUCACGCAGGAAAUGCCCUUCUCUGGAUUCAGGGGCAGCAGGGAGUAUUGCUGACAGCUCAGCGCUGGUCCGGUCAAGCUCAGAGCCCCAGAAUUGAGGCCCUGAAAUAACAAUCGACCCCUCUCCGAGGGAAAACUAGCCCCGAGGUGCGUAGUUCCCUGGGACUGGGGCUUGCUUUGUGUCUGGUGAAGAGAUAAGGACACACUGCUACACUCAGGAUGAGAAAGGGACAGGAUGGAAAAGCAAGCACGAGCAGCCUCACGUCCUCCAUGUGUUGGCUAAGUGGGGCAGGGAUAUUCGAAGACCUGAUCUCUUCUCCCCGACCCCCUGUUCUGUGCCUCGAUACUUGAGCCCUAAACUUCUGAGCAGGAACUAAAGAUGGUCCAUAGUUCCUAAAGAUCCAAGGUCAGAAGGUCAGAGAUACGGCUGAGGACAUUAGAAAAGAGCCAAAGAAACCAGGUACAAGAAGAAAUUUUCCACGACUCAGGUGUUUACUCCCCAACACCCCAGAGCUGAGAAGCCUGCUCCUCUCUUGGCCCACCUUGUGCGCAGUUUCUGCAAACUGCUGGGCGCUGUUCUUCAGGUCUUCUGUCUUCUCCUCUGCUCGGCCUAAUCGCUCUCCACGCUCAUUCAAGGCCUGGCUUGCCUUCUGCACUGCGCUGGUCACGCUGUCAGCAGCUGAAUGGAGGAUGCUGUUUCCUGAAAGGAGGAGAGCAGGAGCAUCAGAAACUGGCUCAGCUGACCCACAGUGACCAGACUCCGGCAGGGUGAGUAUCCUGUAAGAGGAAGGCAGGUCACACUGCAGAAAGGCCGCUCGUCUAGUGUCUAGGAAACAAGCCGACAUUUCUUUUGAUUGGGUUUGACUGACGCACUUGCAGCAAGAACACCCACUGACUGCAGGACCUAGGAAAAUCCUAAAUGCUUCUCUAUAAACUCAUCACUGACAUGCCAGUCAUUUCCAUUCUGCCAGUAUUCUAUCUGUGGAGGCUCAAAAGGAUGGGGCCUGUCUGGAUUUACAACUUGGCUUGCAAAGAUAAAUGAAAACGUUGACAAGUUCACAGAAUUAGGCAAGUUCAAUGAGACAUAUCUGGAUCUUAUGUUAUUUCCUUUUGACCUGUGGUUUCGGUGAAUAACCAUAGGAAAACUGGGACCACAGAACUUUUCUAGAUAGAAUGCUCUAUAUUCCUUCCAAUGCUUCUUCUUCAUUUUACCCCUUCAUCCAGCAAGUAAAGAACACCCCAAAAUGUACAGCUUCAUGUAAGAGCUAUGAUCCAGUCUCAAAGCUCAGAGUAGAUGUGUCUGCUCCCAACCUUGGAUUCUGUACCAUGGCUCGGAUGGUUGGGACUCCUUACCUCUGAUCUCUAGUAUGUGAAAUACGGAGCCUCAGGACCAUACUUAACCAGCAGGUACAAAACAGUGAUAGAAACCAGCCCUAGAAGAAACUUGGUACUCCCAAACUCAGGAGUGGUGAUACCAAGAAGGUUGAAAGCCAUUGCAUCUCAGAGGGUCAUGCAUUCCUGACAUCCCAUUUGCCGGGACUGGGCAGCAAAAUUCAAUAGUGAAGAACUUGCCAAUGCAUAAAUCACUGAGAAAUAGCAACUUGCAAAAUGACAACCAAAGGAAAUUUAUAGCUGUAUUUUGUUAACACUGAGUGUGAGAUAUUUAAUGGCAUUUUAUAUAAUGACUUUAUGUCUUUGAAUAAGUUUAUUACAUCAUUUAACUUUGUACCUGGGAUGGAUACAUCUAGCCACAGAUAGCUUUUAAUAGAAACGCAAUUUCCACUGGUCUCAGCUGCAAAGGGUUCUUAAUUUCUCCUCUGUGGGCACAGUCUGUGGUUUGUGGAAAAGGAUCUCAGGCAAAGAAAGUGCCUGGACUGGAGGAAGCACUUAGUAAAUGUUUUUCCAUUUUUCUUCUUUAAUGGUGGAUUUCAAGGGAUUCAAUUAUGCACUGAGGGGAGGAGAAUGGGGUUAACUCAGUGUUACUCAGUUGCAUCAAGCACUACAUGAACCAAGAUAAAUCAGCACAGAUAAAUAGGGAGCAGAGGAAAUGCAGUUCUAGGCAAAUCUGGUUGAAUGCAAGGUUGGAAUGAAAGGUCUGGGUCUUCAGAACAGAUUUAGGAGGAGAAAUCUUGGUCCCCUUUGCUUUCAUAUCAUACUCAUAACUAUGAUAAUAACCCAUCCAUGCUGCUCAACACUUGAAUAGCACUUUGCAAUCAUAAAGCACCUUCACGAAUAUUAUCUCACUUGAUUGUCACAAUUCUGCUGAUAGGAUUGAGACUAGCAGAGGUUAAGAGGCUUGCACAAUACCGUAUCACUAGGGAAGUGACAUGGAUAGCACUUGAGCCUGGUUUCCCAGUGACUUUUCCUUAUUCUCUACCUUGUUCUUUGCAGAUAUGGUGUUGGUUCAGAGAAGCAAUCACUAAGACAGAAUUGUGCGCAGACUAGCAUACAGAUAGGUUUUGACAGGUUAUUUCCCAAGGUAACGCCUGACCGUUUCUGUCCUCAAGGUACUCCUCUUGGUAAAUUAAGAGUUAUUACCCAUGCCACAUGGAAAGUCAAGUUUUCUCAAAAAAGGAAGAGGCCAAUGGGGUGGAACAGGAAGAUGGGGAAGGGCGCAGAGGAGUUGGGAGAGGGCACAAGAAAAUCUCCUUUUCCUGCCUCCUUCCAUAUAUUCACAGCUGAGCCACCAGAGGACUGGGAAAAGAUAGGGCAGGGAAGCUGCAACUUCACCACUAGGAAUAGCUUCCUUAAAUCAAAAGGAUUUUAGAAUUAGCUGCUAUAAAAUUAAGAGGGUGUAUAACCAAGACUUGCCUUUUCCCACUGGAAUUAACCUGCAUGAUCUUCACUCGUGUUUCUGGAAUGAACCUACUACACAUAAGCCUUGCUGCUUUGUUGCUUGAAAUUAAGCUUGCACGUGAUGUCAGGUAACAUCACACUCAGUUUUAUAUGAUACUGUUUAACAGGAGACAUUAUAACUCAUAGAGAACCAGAUGCUGUCUUCACUGUUGAAAGAUGACAUUGCUGACUACUGCCAAUAGGAAAUCCACCUUCAGUUAUUUUCAGGCAUCAGGAUGAAUUCGAACAAAUUUCAUUUCCUUGGUUGAAAUAACCUCUUCCAGUUUCAAUUCUACCCACAUUUUAGGCACAGUGAAGUCCCAUCACCUUUAUUAAGCUUCAGGUCAAUUCCAAUCUCUCCCUCCACUCAACUCCCUAAAUAAUAUCUAUAUCCUUCUUGGGUACUUAAUUAAGUACAAUCACGGGCAACUCUUCUCCUACUUGACUUUUUCACCUGUAGAUGCAAUGACUUCCCAGCUGGAUUACAAAUUCUCAGAGUGCAUCAUUUCGCUCUGUUGACCAUUCCCUAAAUCUUUAAUAUUUUUCCUCUAUUGACUUAGAUCUUCUGCUGACUUAUUUUCUUCUAUCUGGGAUCCUCUUGCUCAAACUGUAAUCCCAGGGUUCUUUCCCUCACUCUCUUCUCCUUUGCACUCUACAGACUCUCUCUGGAGCAAUCUCAUCCAGCUCCUGACUUCCAUAACCAAAUCCUUAUCUUUCACUAGGUCAUGCUGCUGAGCUCCAGGCCCAUAGGUUUUCUUAUGGAAAAAGUCCAACAGAAUGACCCAAAGUCAUCUUAAGUUCAGUAAGUCAAAACCUCAACUCAUUAUCUUUUCCCUCCACACCUGUUUUUCCUUUGGGUCCCCUACUUAGCAAACAACCCCAAUAUCUGCCCAGGUCCUGAAUCCAGCCGGAAAUCUGGGAGUCUAGUCUAGACACCUUCCUCACUUUUAUCCCAUACAACUAAAGGUCACCUCCUAUACAGCUCUCUACACUCUUGCCUUUUUACCAUCCUCUUGCCUCACAUAUACACACAAUCUUUACCACAUCUAUGAUAAUUACUAGAAAUAAAAUUGCUGGUUCAAAGCAUACAAACAUUUUUAGGCUCUUGGUGUAUGUUGAAAAUUGCUUCCCUGAAAGAUUUAUUCAACAUUCAAAACUAUUCAUGAAGUACAUACUACGUGCCAGGCACUAUUAUGUUGACACAACUGGCAGAAUGACUUUAAGGGAGUGAUUUAAUUUGUCUGAUCUGUAAAAUGUGGGUUGUGCCAUUUACCUCACGUGCCUACUGUGGAGAUGAAGAUGUACACGCAGUGUCUCCAGGUACUCAAUGGAAGUUUGUCCCUCCACCCCCCUUAAGACUACAUCUUCUUUCUAUGUAAUUUUGAAAAAAAUGGCACAUCUCACCCAGUUCCAUUGCAUGUCAUUCUCUCUUCUCUCCUAUCUCGGGGCUAAGUGUUUUGAAGCUUGCAGAAGAUACUCCUUACAUACCUUUGUAUAUCCUGCUAUAUGUAGCACAGCAUGUUGCUCAGACAGGGAGUUUCACACGUAUUUAUUAAAUCACGACAUGUUUUGUAAAUAGGAUGCCUAACUCAAAAGUUGGGACUCAUCAUAUUGUGCUGAGUUAAAUCUGGAAAUAAAGCAGCCUCCUGAGGCCAACAGCAUAGUAAUUCUUUCUAAAUAGAUAGGAAGCAUAUUAAUACCCAAAUUUAUUCAAGCAGUCUGAGAAGCUGUCAACCAUGGUAAAUAAAGUCAACUACUUUUGGAAUUAGUCUCUGGAGAUAGAGCAGAGACCAAUCUUGCUCCACUGAUCUUGCCUUCAUAUCAGUUCCACUUAAUGUGUGCUUUUAAAAAAAUAUAUACGCUGACAUCUUUUAUGUUAAGUGAUUUAGAAGACUUCAUUGAGAGAGCAACUGGAGAUAAAGCUAUAGCAUUGUGUUCAGUCACUGAGAACACAAUGAAAAUAAAUUUAAAUGUAGAGAAAAAUGAGAAAAAAGAGUAAAGUAUAUUGAGAAGUGAUAAACGAAGAGAAAGGAGGAAACUUUUUAAGAAGCACAUGCAAUACACCAAUAGUUCAAUUAUCUACAUAAUUUCAUUUGAUCACCCUACACAUCAGGGUGUAUCUUGGUAAUUAAAAUCCUUAAUUCUAUUGCUAGUAAAAGGCAAUUUCAACAGAAUUUUCAGCAGCUACUUCUAUAAAAUACAUAUAGAGAUAUUUGAAAUAUAAAAUAUUCAUCCUGUUUGGAAAAUAAGGCAGCAAGAAAAUAAUCUAAAACAUAAAUAAUAAAUAUAUGCCCAUCUAUACUCAGUGCUGAGUCAAUGUGCUUAUCUAAGAACACUCUUUUAAAACAGAGAUUUCUUAACAGUUUUGCUUGGACUACUUCUAUUCCAUAAUCAAUUUAACCACUUAAGAAUAACUACCCAAUAAACCCCACUUAUCUAAACUAACUUAGAGGAAAACCAAUUUGAAUUUUGGGAAAAUAUAAAUGUGUAAAAUAGAUAUGGGUUCUAACAAACACAAAAAUUGGUAGGGAGACCUAUUAUAUUUAAUCUGUUUAUAGGCCAGGAACAUUAGUGACUCUCACAUAAUAUGCCAAAAGUAUUCAAUAAUAAUUUAUUCUCUGCGUAGAUGAAGUAGGCUCUAUUCUAUUCUCAUCUACUGAGUUAUUUUUCUUAGCAAAGCUAUUUUCAUGGUUAGUACCUAAGGUACAAUUAAGUCUUAUUAAGUAUAAGUGACACACAAAUUAAUUUCACUGGAUACAAAAAGGUAGGAUUCACCUAAGACAUGUUUUUUUCUUUUUUCUACUUUCGCUCUGUGACAAUUUCAUUGCUCAGUGUUUCUGCCACUAGAACAUAUAUUAGCAAAAGAAAAGUCACAUAGAGAUCUGGCUCCCUGACAGCCUGGUCUCCUUUCAGUCCCAAAGCUACUCAGUGUCAGUUAGACACUGUUCUGCUUCCUGUGAUGAGUGGCUCUACUUCUGCCCCCAUCCAUGGUCAUUCAGUUGCAUGAUAAUCAUGAUGCUCCAAAGGAGGCUCUGUUUAGUACUGUGACUGUCACUAAAUAUUUUAUAGAUGAAUAAUAAUUUAAGUAAUCAUGACGAUAUUAGCUUUUACUUCUAUGAACAGAGUGAUUAAAUGCAAAGCCUACCCGGUGAUAGAAGUUGGCUCUUAAUCCACAAAGUCCAUUAAUUAUCUGUGAAUUUAGGCAAUACCAAGCUCUUUCUAUAUUACAUUGAUUAAUCAAUACUAAAUCACAUCACUGCAUUUCAAUGUUGGAUAACCUCUAAUAUCCUCUUUUAAGAUGGAGAUUCUUCCAAAAAGUUAAAUUUCAUCCAUACUUUUGUGAUAAUGACUAACCAGAAAAAUUCUUUUAAAAAUUCUGGUUAAAUCAAGCCUUUCCAAACGGAAGAGUUGUUAACCCAAGCUGGGCAGGAUGCAGUGUGAACAUCAGUCAAUCACAAUCACAGAACAGCUACCAUACUAGGUGGCAGGUACUAUGGUAAGAUGUUACAUUCCUCAAAGGGAGAUAUUCUUACCCUUAUGUUACAGUUAAGGAAACACAUGCACAGGGAGGUGAAGUAGCUUACGCAGGAUUAGCCGCGAAUUGACUCCAAAGCUCUUAACAUCUAUGUCGGCAUUUGCCAAAGUGGUUCUGUGAGUUACAGUGCUCCAAGGAAAGCUCAAUUCUAUGGCAAAAUGACUUCGUGAAAUGAGAUCUAGCCACACUCCUUUAUUGCAGAACUUUGGAAAAUCUUUAAUGCGUUAAUGUAAACUGAAUGAAAAGGAGGUACGGGUGAGAGCAGGAGAGGUAUGGUAUGCAGAGCUUCCCAAACAUAUUUACUUAUAGGGCUUUUUUGCCGAGUAUCUUAGUAGGGUGAAAUUCCGCAGAAUUUGUGCUCAGAAAUGCUACAAUAGACUACACUGACUCCUAAGUUAAAGGAGGAAAAAUAAAUUCAGGCUGUCCUCAUCAAUUUAGUAACAGACAGGUCAUGUAAUUACAUUCAAAAGGCUUGCUUUAUAGAGGCUACGGAACAGAUAGCGUGCUCAAUGGUGGUUUCAGAAUUAUCUUUUGUCUCAAGUUGGUGGCUAAUUUCAAGGACCAAGAAACUUACUUGCUUGUUGCCUGGAGCUGGACGACAAAGAAAAAUGGACUUAAUGCUCAGGAAUACUUUGUAAGUCCAUAAAUGCAAAAGCCUACUUGAAGGACACCUUGGAAUUAUUGAUUGCUGUUGUUACCAAGAGAAGAAUGGACCAUUCUAUUAGGUCUUCUUUUGGCAUUGUGAAGGUAAUGCAGUGGAACACCAGCCUACUCCCAAGUCACAAGCAUGUCUGCCCCAGAGGCUAACUAAAGUCUCAGGAAAAAGCCCAAUGCUCCCUCCCUGUCAUAUAGACAACUAUGAGUUCAUACUCUCCUCUCAAUUCACUGUUUCAAUCUUCUCAUUGACAAGGAUCAAACAUUUAGGAUUUUAUUCAGGUCUCUUUAAACACUUAAAUUCAGGAUAUGCAUAAACACUCAUGGAUAUCUUUAGGAUUUACUUAACCUUGGUUCUUAUGAAUAGUUACAGGGUAUCAGGAGAAUGAAUUCAAUAAUACUUCUUUUGGGUCUGUUUUGUUCAGAGAUUAUCAGUUUCUCAGAAUACAGGGAACACUUGUUUUGAGGUUAAAAACCUAACGUGGCUCUAAAUUUGGUAAAACAGAUUUUGUUCUGUCUUGGGUUAUGUUUGCUGACAAACCAGCUAUGAUCUACAGGUCUCUACUUUUAUUACAGUUGGCAGCUAGGGACUUUUACUCUAACACUCUAAUAACUGUUAAUUUCAAGUCCUUACAUAUACAAAUUGAAAACUCUCUACACAAUGCUACUGGUUAAAAAGCAAAUUUUCUUCAACAUACUUGCUACUUACCAGCUGUGUGACCUGAACAAAUUACUUACCCUGUUGUGCUUCGGUUUCCUCACCUGUCCUAGGGAUUGGUCUAGUAUCUAUCUCAUGAGAUUGCUGUGAGGAAUAAAUGAGGUGAUGCGCAAGUGGGGCAUUUACAACAGUGUUUGGCCCAUAGACACUGAACCUUAGCCAUUACUAAUGAGAUUGUUACCUGGCACUGGAGAGUCUUUCUGUUAAGCUCUCUACUUAGCUCAUCUUUCUUUCCCUACUCUCAUCACCAUGAACAUUCGUGAAGGAGGAGUCUGCCCCUACUGUUACUUUCGUAUGCCACAAUUCUUUUGAACUUCCAGUGGACCACCUCACCCCAUGCUAACAACACUGUUCUCUCAAACUCACCAAUGACCUAUCGAGUCCAUUGCCUAUUUUAUGUUUCCUCCAGUUGGCCAUGGGACCACAAAUUGACUGACUACUUCUGAAGGCCGCUCUUUCUGUUGGCUUCUAAAACACACUAUUUCUUGAUCCACCCCCCGACCCCUGUCACUUUGAUUCUUCCUUCAUUCCCUUCCUGAUUAGAGAUACAAGGUCAGAAAGAUCUAGGCUUGAGACUGACUUUGCCAAAUAUCAACUAUGUGGCCUCAGAUAAGUUACUUAAUCUCUAUGAGCCUAUGCUUUUUCAUUGGUUUAAUGUCAAUAAAAAACAGUACCUAUUUUGGCCAGGUGUGGUGGCUCAUGCCUGUAAUCUCAGCACUUUGGGAGGCCAAGGUGGGUGGAUCACUUUAGCCCAGGAGUUUUGAGAUCGGCCUGGGCAGCAUGGAGAAACCCCAUCUCUAUAAGAAAUACAAAAACUAGCUGGGCUUGGCAGUGCAUGCCUAUAGUCCCAGUUACUGUGGAGGCUGAGGUGGGAAGAUGGCUUGAGCCUGGGACACUGAGGUUUCUGUGAGCUGAGAUGGAGCCACCGCACUCCAGUCUGGACAAUAGAGCCAGACCUUGUCAUAAACAAAGAAAUAAACAAACAAACAAAAAAAAGUACUUAUUUUUCAUAUGAACUAGUGUGAGAACUAAAUGAAAUACAUAUUUAGCAUAGGGCUAAUAAUGCAGUAUGUGCUCAAUGUACUCUGUAUCAUUAGUAAUAACUGAUUCAUUCAGCUCACUUAUUACAGAACAUGUGCCAGACACUGUCUAUAUUUGUCUGCUUCACAAAUUAAAAACCUUCAUAUUAACCCAAUCUUUUCCUUCCUUCCCUUCUUCUGAUCUGCUCCUCCUACAUUCAUUGUGUCAAUUAAUGGCUCUUCUGUUCACCUACUCUUCUACUCUCAAUUGACCUGACUCUUAACCUCUCCAACAUAUCCCACACCAAAAUGCUCAUGGAAUCCAGGACAUUCUCUCUCAGCAAGGUUUCUUUACUUAGCCCUCCACAUUAUUUCUAGCCCCUAUGGUACUUUAAGUUCUAUUUCAGUCUUACUGGACAAAGAUAGUAGCCUGGAUGUUGUUCCUGCCACUAGUCUCUAAGUCCUCUAGUACCUGAUCAUGCCACUUUCUCAUUUCUAUGCUUUGCUGCUCACCCAUAAUACAACACAACCAAGAAGGCCUUUCUUAAUCUAGUUCCAGGCUAUUCGCUUGCCACCUCUGCAGGACCCCCAACCUUUAUCUACUGCUUCACUGUUUCUUGACAGAUUAUAGAAAAUCCUUAAAGUUUUAUCAGUUUCUUACUAUGUAGAACAUACAACAAAUGAAUUUGAAAAAAAAUCCAUGUGAAUAAAAAGCUUAACAAAGAA